rnacentral:rRNA from 1 species
AUACGAAAGGUGCAAGCGUUGUUCGGAUUUACGGGGCGUAAAGAGAUCGUAGGUGGUUUAUUAAGUCGGAUGUGAAAUCCCGGGGCUCAACCCCGGAACUGCAUUCGAUACUGGUAGACUAGAGUUUGGGAGGGGUAAGCGGAAUUCCGUGUGUAGCAGUGAAAUGCGUAGAUAUACGGAGGAACACCUGAGGCGAAGGCGGCUUACUGGACCAAUACUGACACUGAGGAUCGAAAGCGUGGGUAGCAAACAGGAUUAGAAACCCUAGUAGUCC